rnacentral:piRNA from 1 species
UUGAAAACUGCUCUGAAUUUG